rnacentral:rRNA from 1 species
GUCCAGACUCCUACGGGAGGCAGCAGUGGGGAAUAUUGCACAAUGGGGGAAACCCUGAUGCAGCGACGCCGCGUGAGUGAAGAAGUAUUUCGGUAUGUAAAGCUCUAUCAGCAGGGAAGAAAAUGACGGUACCUGACUAAGAAGCCCCGGCUAACUACGUGCCAGCAGCCGCGGUAAUACGUAGGGGGCAAGCGUUAUCCGGAUUUACUGGGUGUAAAGGGAGCGUAGACGGCAUGGCAAGUCAGAUGUGAAAGCCCGGGGCUCAACCCCGGGACUGCAUUUGAAACUGUCAGGCUGGAGUGCAGGAGAGGUAAGUGGAAUUCCUAGUGUAGCGGUGAAAUGCGUAGAUAUUAGGAGGAACACCAGUGGCGAAGGCGGCUUACUGGACUGUAACUGACGUUGAGGCUCGAAAGCGUGGGGAGCAAACAGGAUUAGAUACCCCUGUAUG